rnacentral:rRNA from 1 species
UACAGAGGUCCCAAGCGUUGUUCGGAUUCAUUGGGCGUAAAGGGUGUGUAGGUGGCGCCGUAAGUCGGGUGUGAAAUUUCGGAGCUUAACUCCGAACCUGCAUUCGAUACUGCCGUGCUUGAGGACUGGAGAGGAGACUGGAAUUAGGUGUAGCGUGAAAUGCGUAGAGAUCAUGAGGAAGACCAGUGGCGAAGGCGGGUCUCUGGACAGUUCCUGACGCUGAGGCACGAAGGUCAGGGGAGCAAACGGG